rnacentral:rRNA from 1 species
GGAAGGUGGGGAUGACGUCAAAUCAUCAUGCCCCUUAUGUCUUGGGCUUCACGCAUGCUACAAUGGCCGGUACAGAGGGCUGCGAUACCGCGAGGUGGAGCGAAUCCCUUAAAGCCGGUCUCAGUUCGGAUUGGGGUCUGCAACUCGACCCCAUGAAGUCGGAGUCGCUAGUAAUCGCAGAUCAGCAACGCUGCGGUGAAUACGUUCCCGGGCCUUGUACACACCGCCCGUCA